GAUCCUGGCUCAGGAUGAACGCUAGCUACAGGCUUAACACAUGCAAGUCGAGGGGCAGCAUGGUCUUAGCUUGCUAAGGCCGAUGGCGACCGGCGCACGGGUGAGUAACACGUAUCCAACCUGCCGUCUACUCUUGGACAGCCUUCUGAAAGGAAGAUUAAUACAAGAUGGCAUCUUAAGCACACAUGUAAUUAGGAUUAAAGAUUUAUCGGUGUACGAUGGGGAUGCGUU
rnacentral:rRNA from 1 species